rnacentral:rRNA from 1 species
CGAAGGGGGCUAGCGUUACUCGGAAUUACUGGGCGUAAAGGGCGCGUAGGCGGCUCUGCAAGUCAGGCGUGAAAUUCCUGGGCUCAACCUGGGGACUGCGCUUGAGACUGUGGGGCUAGAGGAUGGAAGAGGGUCGUGGAAUUCCCAGUGUAGAGGUGAAAUUCGUAGAUAUUGGGAAGAACACCGGUGGCGAAGGCGGCGACCUGGUCCAUUACUGACGCUGAGGCGCGACAGCGUGGGGAGCAAACAGGA